GCAUGUCUCUUGUUCCUUCUGUCACAGAAUUGAUCCUAGCUGAAUCUCUUUAUCGUCAAUAUGAGGAUGCCGAGAACUAAUUUAUCACCUAUAUAUAAACUCCACUGGGACAACAAAGGUGAAAGGUGGGAAGAAGUUGGGAUAUGAAACAAAGGCAUUUUCCAUUUAUGAUGUCAUGAACCAAUUACAAGGUUUCUAGGUCAAGCAACAGAUGUUGGUCUUGCA